rnacentral:tRNA from 2 species
GCAGAGGUGGCGGAACAGGUAGACGCGAUAGUUUGAGGGGCUAUUAGUGGGAAACACUGUGAGAGUUCGAGUCUCUUCCUCUGCA